rnacentral:rRNA from 1 species
AACGAACGCUGGCGGCAUGCCUAACACAUGCAAGUCGAACGAGAUCUUCGGGUCUAGUGGCGCACGGGUGCGUAACGCGUGGGAAUCUGCCCUUUGGUUCGGAAUAACAGUUGGAAACGACUGCUAAUACCGGAUGAUGACGAAAGUCCAAAGAUUUAUCGCCAGAGGAUGAGCCCGCGUAGGAUUAGCUAGUUGGUGGGGUAAAGGCGCACCAAGGCGACGAUCCUUAGCUGGUCUGAGAGGAUGAUCAGCCACACUGGGACUGAGACACGGCCCAGACUCCGACGGGAGGCAGCGGGGGGGAAUAUUGGACAAUGGGCGAAAGCCUGAUCCAGAAAUGCCGCGUGGGUGAUGAAGGCCUUAGGGUUGUAAAGCUCUUUUACCCGGGAUGAUAAUGACAGUACCGGGAGAAUAAGCUCCGGCUAACUCCGUGCCAGCCGCCGCGGUAA